rnacentral:rRNA from 1 species
UAGUAACGGCGAGUGAAGCGGCAGCAGCCCAAAUUUGAAAUCUGGCUCCCUCUCGGGGCCCGAGUUGUAGUUUGGAGAGGAUGCCUCGGCGGGGCCGCCAGUCGAAGUCCCUUGGAACGGGGCGUCGCAGAGGGUGAGAAUCCCGUCCGUGGCCGGCGGUCCCCGCCGUGCGAGGCUCCCUCGAAGAGUCGAGUUGUUUGGGAAUGCAGCUCUAAGUGGGAGGUAAAUUCCUUCUAAGGCUAAACAUCCGCCAGAGACCGAUAGCGCACAAGUAGAGUGAUCGAAAGGUGAAAAGCACUUUGAAAAGAGGGUGACACAGCACGUGAAAUUGUUGAAAGGGAAGCGCUUGCAGCCAGAGUUGGCCCCGGGGGCUCCGCUCGUCCUCGGACGGGCGCCCUCCCUCGGGGCCAGGCCAGCAUCAGCCUGGCCGGCCGGACAAAGGCCGUGGGAAUGUAGCACCCUCGGGUGUGUUAAGCCCGCGGCACAAUGCGGCCUGGCCGGGCUGAGGUCAGCGCCUUCGGGCACGGAUGCUGGCGUAAUGGCUGUCAGCGGCCCGUCUUGAAACACGGACCAAGGAGUCUAACAUCCAUGCGAGUGUUCGGGUGUCAAACCCGUGAGCGUAAUGAAAGUGAACGGAGGUGGGAGUCUUCGGACGCACCAUCGACCGAUCCUGAUGUCCUCGGAUGGAUUUGAGUAUGAGCAUGGCUGUUGGGACCCGAAAGAUGGUGAACUAUGCGUGAAUAGGGUGAAGCCAGAGGAAACUCUGGUGGAGGCUCGCAGCGGUUCUGACGUGCAAAUCGAUCGUCAAAUUUGCGCAUAGGGGCGAAAGACUAAUCGAACCAUCUAGUAGCUG